ACUUUAAAAAAUGUUUACUAAAUAUGCAUUGAAAGUACGUCAAUUUUUUAAUUAUUUCAAAAGCUGAAGCCAAGGAUAAACCACCAGCACCUGUUAAAAAAGAAGCUGAAGUUGCUGUCGAAAAAGCAAAACUUGCUCCUGUAAAGAAGGAGCCUGAGGUUCCCAAAGAGAAGGCCAAACCGGAGCCCUCAAAGAAAGGUAAAAAAGAGAAGGCAAAACCAGCUCUUUUGAGAUUCCAAAACCUGAACUAUAAUUUU
rnacentral:lncRNA from 1 species